CACAAGUCUUUUCAGAGGUUCGUAAGUUGUAGGAACAGAUUUGGGCCAUUCGGCCCAUCAAGUCUAUUCCGCCAUUCAAUCAUGGCUGAUCUAUCUUUCCCUCUCAACUCCAUUUUCCUGCCUUCUUUCCAUAACCCUUGACACCAUCACUAA